rnacentral:rRNA from 1 species
AUUGAACGCUGGCGGCAGGCUUAACACAUGCAAGUCGAGCGGGGGAAGGUAGCUUGCUACCGGACCUAGCGGCGGACGGGUGAGUAAUGCUUAGGAAUCUGCCUAUUAGUGGGGGACAACAUCUCGAAAGGGAUGCUAAUACCGCAUACGUCCUACGGGAGAAAGCAGGGGAUCUUCGGACCUUGCGCUAAUAGAUGAGCCUAAGUCGGAUUAGCUAGGUGGUGGGGUAAAGGCCUACCAAGGCGACGAUCUGUGGCGGGUCUGAGGGGAUGAUCCGCCACACUGGGACUGAGACACGGCCCAGACUCCUACGGGAGGCAGCAGUGGGGAAUAUUGGACAAUGGGGGGAACCCUGAUCCAGCCAUGCCGCGUGUGUGAAGAAGGCCUUAUGGUUGUAAAGCACUUUAAGCGAGGAGGAGGCUACUCUAGUUAAUACCUAGGGAUAGUGGACGUUACUCGCAGAAUAAGCACCGGCUAACUCUGUGCCAGCAGCCGCCGUAA